rnacentral:rRNA from 1 species
CACGUAGGGUGCGAGCGUUGUCCGGAAUUAUUGGGCGUAAAGAGCUCGUAGGCGGUGUGUCGCGUCGGCCGUGAAAACCUGCAGCUUAACUGUGGGCUUGCGGUCGAUACGGGCAUCACUGGAGUUCGGCAGGGGAGACUGGAAUUCCUGGUGUAGCGGUGAAAUGCGCAGAUAUCAGGAGGAACACCGGUGGCGAAGGCGGGUCUCUGGGGCCGAUACUGACGCUGGAGGAG